ACCGUUCAAUAUCAGAUAUUCUGUCGGCCUUUGUUGUAAAUUGAUGAUGAAACCCCAAAACGUGUUUCACGUGAUUUAUUUAAGCAUUUCUUCCUUUUAUGCCCCUCAGAACGUUCAAAAACACUAAAAACAAAAACCAUGCCACCUUCGACCUCUUAACUUGUAUUAGAGGACAUCAAUCUUCGAGGACUCCAACCCCAUCAGAUUUGCCCACCGGCAUAGUCAGCCCAGUUAAAGAUCAAGACCAAUGUGGAUCUUGCUGGACAUUCAGCACCACUGGAGAUCUUUUGGCUGCCUACUCUCAGGCAUUUGGGAAGGGAAUCUCUCUCUCAUAGCAGCAGCUUGUGGACUGUGCUAGAGCUUUCAAUAACUUUUGCUGCAGAGGAAUGUAUCAUUAUUGGAGGCUUCCAUUGACUCUCCAAUAUUGAGUUCAAGUAACUAGAACACAGGAGAAGUAUUCGAGUCAUGAGUCUUAUACAGCCAAGGUACUCUAGUUGUAGAUGAUGGUGUUGUAGAGGUGCGCUUGGGAUAUUAUGACCGAAGCUCACCGCGACGGUCGUAAUUGCGGGACCAUGGUCGUCCUCUGUUUUAUGGGUUUUGUAUAUAGCUUGUAACGCCUGUGUCACUUGUUAUUAUAUAAAGUCAUUUAUGUUAUGUAUUUAAUUCGAAGAAAAGCUUAAAUAGAUAGAUGUAAUAUUGGCUCUUGAUUAUGAUUAAUUUAUGAUAGAUGUUUAAGAUA